AGGCAAAAAUAACUUUGACCCAGUCCAUGGCCCGGCUUGGCCCACGGGCCAGCCCGACCUACGACACGACACGACACGGCACGACACGGCAUGGGCUCGCACGGGCUCGGGCCGUGAGCCAUGCCAGGCCAACUCCAAAAUAUUCAAACAAAUAAAUAAAUUUAACAUUGAUAAGUUUGGAUGCCGACCCUGCCCUAGUGUCACAAGUGACUAGCCCCGUGACACCAGCCCACACCUAGAACCCGAACCUACGGUGGUUCAAAUUUAAAAAUAAAAACCUAAUUAAAAUUAAUUGGCCCGCGCGCGGGAAGAAAGAGAAAGGGAGAGAACAGAGAUGGAAAACCUUAGAAUGAAGGAGAAUAGAGCAUUAGAAAAACAAAAACAUAGAGAAUGAAGGAGAGUAUAGAGAGAGAGAGAGAGAGAGAGAGAGAGAGGAGGUGCUAUUGCUGUUGCAUUCAUUGCAAGAAAGGGAGAACGAAGAGAAAGGGAGGUGCUGUAAUCGCUGCUGCAUUCAAGUCAGAAAUAUUAAAACCUAAAAAUUUAUUGGCUGAACAAAGAAGAGAAAGGAAGAGGAGGGUAGGCUACCAGUGGAUUAUAAGAUUUCUUGCCCUUGGUUGUUAUGCAAUGCUACUUAUUCCUAGUUUUAUUCAAGGUGUGUUUUUUAUGAGGCUUGGUUGCUUUGACAUUUUUCAUUCAUCAGUGUUGGUCACUAGCAGCUCUUCUGGUCCCUAUGAUUGGCCAUCGAAUAAUUUUUUUUUUUUUUUUUUAUGAAAAUUAGACCUUAUGUGGGUCAUAGUUCUUGUGUAGGAUUUGCCUUUGUAUAUCUAAUGUGUUUAGUUGUUGGCAGUUGGGUAUUACUAUUUUUUCUCAAGUCAGGUCCAUAGAGGUAUAGUUUAUGGAGAUCAACCAAGAAAUAGGCUUGAUCUGUAUUUACCUAAAAAUAGCAAUGGGAAAAAUCAGUUGUGGCAUUUGUAACAGGUGGAGCCUGGAUUAUUGGGUUAGUGCUUUUUAAAGCAUAAAUUUUCCUCAGGGGACUAUCAGUGACAUAGUGAAAGAUGCUUCUCAAGGGAUCUCAUUUGUGUGCAAUGAUAUUUCUGAAUAUGGAGGUGACCUCAAUAGGAUUUAUUUUGAGACAAUAAGCUGGUGCACAUAUUGCUUCUUGUGCCCUCCUGGAGCAAGCAAUAAAAGAAGCUGGUGAAGGAGAGCACAUCCUGGUGUGUUUCGUAGAUAAAAGCUUAUUUCGAUUAGUCUGGAGGAAUCAUAGGUUGGAAAACACUUUUGUUCCACUUAGAGAUCUUCAUUCCCUUGAUGCAGUUCCAUUAUCAAACUUGGAUAUCAAGCAUAUACUUGGGACAAGGUCCUUUCAUGCACAUGCAACGACUAAGGAGAGGGAGAAUGCCAAUGCAAAGGGGAAAUUCCUUCGAACGAUAUAUUCUUCUUUAUUUAUAUAUUCUUUUAUAAAUGUUUAA